GAAUAUCUGCUAGGAUCGGACGAUGGUCCGACCCCCAGAGCCUGAGGUACUUACUAGCUGUAUGUGGGAAUUUCUCAUGUCAAUUUUCAUUCCCCACCGCUCUAUCUAACCGGCAUCUAACCGUCGCUCCACCUGACCUCUUUCCAACCCAAGAAAGCAUAUUUCCCGUAAAUGGAAAUUCCAGCAUACCGCAAUCACUAAGCAUCUGCUUGAAAGGUAGAAAAG
rnacentral:lncRNA from 1 species